ensembl:lncRNA
UUUAUCCAUUAUGAUUUAUUCUCUACAAUACUUCAUUAGAGGAUAGAGUUCAAUUAUUUACACUCAGAAGUUAUUAUAUAGGUAGGAGGCAACCAAGUGUAAUACAAAGAAUUGGUCUGACAUCUCUGCACUGAAGGUCAAAAGAGGUCUCCUGCUUUAAGGAAAUAAAUUAACCAAAAAAACCCCAACAAAACAACAUGUAGUUUCCAGAAUACAAACAGAAAACAGCACUAAUAGUCAGUGAAGAUUGCAGAUGUUUGUUAAUGUACUAUGAAAACAAAUUAUUCUGUGCAAAGGUUAAAAUGAACUCUUAGAUUUUCUUACAGAUUUUUUCUGAUAAAUUGUAGAUAUGUGAUAUUUUGACUAUAAAACGUUCCCAAACUGAAAUGGCCUCAGUUGAGAUUGACUGUUGAACAUUAUGGAAAAGAAAAAAAUAAAGAACCUCACAGUGGCAACAUUCCAACACUGACAGACUCCAGUGAUCAAAGACAUUCUCCUGUAGUUACUGUAAAACAAAGACAAUUCAUAAUUGCAGUGAGAUUAUUUCUCAGUUGUGGUUGUCAUGAGAAUAAGCCCUUCUAGACCAAAAGGCACUUGCUUCUAAGGAUGAGUUAAAUCCAGACCAAACCAGGUAACAGUUGCUUUGAGAAGGAGCCAUUCUAACCUGCUGUCCCAGCCAAAUAAGCAUGGAGAAGUUCUUACAUCAACUGGUCAUUGGUUUUGCUUGCCUCCAUCUCAAGGCAACUCAAAGUACGUUUUGUUUCUAGUUCACCUCUUUCAUCCUUGUGCAUAGCUGCCAUGUAAUGAUCUAGAAAUGGGAUUAUUUCCUGAGACCACCUGUCCUUGUCAUACAUUUUUUUCUGAGCUAACUUAACUAUUGACACACCUUUCAAAUGAUUUUACAGCUGGACCCUUAUGGGACUAAAGCUGAGAGGGCCUGUUUCUUAGGCAGCAGACCAGUUUUUCUGAUUUGCCAACUUCUUUUCUCACUGCAACAAGACAAGAACACAGUACAUAUUUAGAGGCAUUUUUGUUUUUGUUUUUUCUUCUUAAACAGACUGAGUGGGGAAAUGGAAGUGGGAGAGGAUAACACUUCCCCAGUCCCAAACCAUCUAGCCCACUUCAGGCUUCAACCAACCAAGUCACUCGGUCCUAAAAUUCUGUUCUUAAAAAUGACGGCUAACCCUCCCCACCCCGCCCUUUAGAUAUCCCCUAUUCAAAUAAAAUGAAAUCAGGAAACACUAUACACUGUUGAAGACACAGAACAGGGCAAACAUUUGAAAAAGAAACAAUAUUGUUGAAAAGCCUGGCACUAUAUGCCUGCAUGACCAGUCUCACUGAGCGUGCUCAGGGGUGAAGUUUUAGCACCAUUUUUUUGCUUGUUUUGUUUUAAACCUUUUAGAAAUUAAAUUCUAACAUAGAACACUUGAACAGUAAUGAGUGUAGCCCUAUGUAUCAUACUGUUUGACAGCUGAAAGGUGAAUGGCAUGUCCAGAGCUGAACCCACCCUCGCCCAUCACUACACGGCACCUGGGAGAGUAAUUACAAACCACUCGAGUUUGUAACAAGACUGAUUUAUUCUCAGCAGCAGGAAAUGAUGAAACAAUCCCUUCAUCUUCAAUUGCUUUUCAACAACAUCACAAGGGAAAAGUGGCAAUUUAUAAGAAUGACCCAGUACAGGAGGAAAGCUGGGUCAAUAUUGCACCAUUAUCCAGAAUAGGACCCCCUCCUUUCCCUCACGUCUCUCUCCUCCAGCAGGAGAACAUUACACCAACAUGAAGCAAAACUGCACAAUUCUGUUUGCUUCUCUAGGACCAGAAGGAGCAGCAGCAUGCAGUUCUGAGCUUUCUACCAGCCUUAUUCCCUGCCAUGCCAGGAGAGAAUUUCAGGCUUCAAACACCAGUCAGUUUUAAAAGCCAUCAUUACCACACACACGAAAGCUUUAAAGAUAUAUGCAACCAAACAGCCAUUACUCUUGCUAUGCACUUGUUUUUUCUUUCCCAAUCAUUGUUGACCAUACAGACACUUGGAAAACAGAACGAGCCCCCACAAAUUACAUUUGGACAUCCAUCACUGAGUUCAUGACAUCCCUCAAUGAUGCUGCAGAAUAACAACUGGAUAACUUCACUUCCUCUUAGAAGAAAGUAUUUCUUGUAAUCAUCAAUGAUGGGAGAAGAAAUACAGAAUGCACACGAGAAUCACACAGUCUGGGUAAUACAGGUUUCCCCAUUCAUUGCCUUAAUGUGGUAAUGACAAAACUGUGUAAGAUAAUAACUUACCAAUUAAACUACACAGCUCCUCUCUAUAGGCCUGCUAUAAACUGGAAUACUCGCAGUUCUCAAAGAUCAGUAGUCACACCAGAGAAAGUGGCUGUCCUAUCAAAAGGAAGGUCCCCGAGACUUUAGCUUAAGUUAAACAAAUUUCAGUCACUAGUCUCACUUGUAUGACUACAGCCAAUGCCCUGCAAAUCCCUCCCCAUCCCUCAUCCAAUCAGGCUCUGUAACAAAUGUUUGGGCACAAAACUUGGUUGCAACAGAGCAGACUGUCCAGGGACACUCAGGUACCUCGUCCUUUGCACACACAGCAUGUGCCAUGCUGCUCUCUUACAGGCCUAACAGCAUUCUGUUUCAUAGCAGGCUGCAUUACAAAGCACUGUCUAAAAAA